rnacentral:rRNA from 1 species
ACUAAGCGUACACGGUGGAUGCCCUGGCAGUCAGAGGCGAUGAAGGACGUGCUAAUCUGCGAUAAGCGCCGGUAAGGUGAUAUGAACCGUUAUAACCGGCGAUUUCCGAAUGGGGAAACCCAGUGUGACUCGUCACACUAUCAUUAACUGAAUCCAUAGGUUAAUGAGGCGAACCGGGGGAACUGAAACAUCUAAGUACCCCGAGGAAAAGAAAUCAACCGAGAUUCCCCCAGUAGCGGCGAGCGAACGGGGAGGAGCCCAGAGCCUGAAUCAGCAUGUGUGUUAGUGGAAGCGUCUGGAAAGGCGCGCGAUACAGGGUGACAGCCCCGUACACAAAAGCGCAUGUGCUGUGAGCUCGAUGAGUAGGGCGGGACACGUGGUAUCCUGUCUGAAUAUGGGGGGACCAUCCUCCAAGGCUAAAUACUCCUGACUGACCGAUAGUGAACCAGUACCGUGAGGGAAAGGCGAAAAGAACCCCGGCGAGGGGAGUGAAAAAGAACCUGAAACCGUGUACGUACAAGCAGUGGGAGCACAGGUUUACCUGUGUGACUGCGUACCUUUUGUAUAAUGGGUCAGCGACUUAUAUUCUGUAGCAAGGUUAACCGAAUAGGGGAGCCGGAGGGAAACCGAGUCUUAAUUGGGCGUUAAGUUGCAGGGUAUAGACCCGAAACCCGGUGAUCUAGCCAUGGGCAGGUUGAAGGUUGGGUAACACUAACUGGAGGACCGAACCGACUAAUGUUGAAAAAUUAGCGGAUGACCUGUGGCUGGGGGUGAAAGGCCAAUCAAACCGGGAGAUAGCUGGUUCUCCCCGAAAGCUAUUUAGGUAGCGCCUCGUGAAUUCAUCUCCGGGGGUAGAGCACUGUUUCGGCUAGGGGGCCAUCCCGGCUUACCAACCCGAUGCAAACUGCGAAUACCGGAGAAUGUUAUCACGGGAGACACACGGCGGGUGCUAACGUCCGUCGUGAAGAGGGAAACAACCCAGACCGCCAGCUAAGGUCCCAAAGUCAUGGUUAAGUGGGAAACGAUGUGGGAAGGCCCAGACAGCCAGGAUGUUGGCUUAGAAGCAGCCAUCAUUUAAAGAAAGCGUAAUAGCUCACUGGUCGAGUCGGCCUGCGCGGAAGAUGUAACGGGGCUAAACCAUGCACCGAAGCUGCGGCAGCGACGCUGAUGCGUUGUUGGGUAGGGGAGCGUUCUGUAAGCCUGCGAAGGUGGCCUGUGAGGGUUGCUGGAGGUAUCAGAAGUGCGAAUGCUGACAUAAGUAACGAUAAAGCGGGUGAAAAGCCCGCUCGCCGGAAGACCAAGGGUUCCUGUCCAACGUUAAUCGGGGCAGGGUGAGUCGACCCCUAAGGCGAGGCCGAAAGGCGUAGUCGAUGGGAAACGGGUUAAUAUUCCCGUACUUGGUGUUACUGCGAAGGGGGGACGGAGAAGGCUAUGUUGGCCGGGCGACGGUUGUCCCGGUUUAAGCGUGUAGGUGUGUGUUCCAGGUAAAUCCGGUUCACUUUAACACUGAGGCGUGAUGACGAGGCACUACGGUGCUGAAGCAACAAAUGCCCUGCUUCCAGGAAAAGCCUCUAAGCAUCAGGUAACAUCAAAUCGUACCCCAAACCGACACAGGUGGUCAGGUAGAGAAUACCAAGGCGCUUGAGAGAACUCGGGUGAAGGAACUAGGCAAAAUGGUGCCGUAACUUCGGGAGAAGGCACGCUGACACGUAGGUGAAGUGAUUUACUCAUGGAGCUGAAGUCAGUCGAAGAUACCAGCUGGCUGCAACUGUUUAUUAAAAACACAGCACUGUGCAAACACGAAAGUGGACGUAUACGGUGUGACGCCUGCCCGGUGCCGGAAGGUUAAUUGAUGGGGUCAGCGCAAGCGAAGCUCCUGAUCGAAGCCCCGGUAAACGGCGGCCGUAACUAUAACGGUCCUAAGGUAGCGAAAUUCCUUGUCGGGUAAGUUCCGACCUGCACGAAUGGCGUAAUGAUGGCCAGGCUGUCUCCACCCGAGACUCAGUGAAAUUGAACUCGCUGUGAAGAUGCAGUGUACCCGCGGCAAGACGGAAAGACCCCGUGAACCUUUACUAUAGCUUGACACUGAACAUUGAGCCUUGAUGUGUAGGAUAGGUGGGAGGCUUUGAAGUGUGGACGCCAGUCUGCAUGGAGCCGACCUUGAAAUACCACCCUUUAAUGUUUGAUGUUCUAACGUGGACCCGUAAUCCGGGUUGCGGACAGUGUCUGGUGGGUAGUUUGACUGGGGCGGUCUCCUCCUAAAGAGUAACGGAGGAGCACGAAGGUUGGCUAAUCCUGGUCGGACAUCAGGAGGUUAGUGCAAUGGCAUAAGCCAGCUUGACUGCGAGCGUGACGGCGCGAGCAGGUGCGAAAGCAGGUCAUAGUGAUCCGGUGGUUCUGAAUGGAAGGGCCAUCGCUCAACGGAUAAAAGGUACUCCGGGGAUAACAGGCUGAUACCGCCCAAGAGUUCAUAUCGACGGCGGUGUUUGGCACCUCGAUGUCGGCUCAUCACAUCCUGGGGCUGAAGUAGGUCCCAAGGGUAUGGCUGUUCGCCAUUUAAAGUGGUACGCGAGCUGGGUUUAGAACGUCGUGAGACAGUUCGGUCCCUAUCUGCCGUGGGCGCUGGAGAACUGAGGGGGGCUGCUCCUAGUACGAGAGGACCGGAGUGGACGCAUCACUGGUGUUCGGGUUGUCAUGCCAAUGGCACUGCCCGGUAGCUAAAUGCGGAAGAGAUAAGUGCUGAAAGCAUCUAAGCACGAAACUUGCCCCGAGAUGAGUUCUCCCUGAGACUUAAAGUCUCCUGAAGGAACGUUGAAGACGACGACGUUGAUAGGCCGGGUGUGUAAGCGCAGCGAUGCGUUGAGCUAACCGGUACUAAUGAACCGUGAGGCUUAACC